rnacentral:tRNA from 1 species
GCGCGAGUAGCUCAAUGGCAGAGCGUCUCCCUUCCAAGGAGAAGGUUGAGGGUUCGAAUCCCUUCUCGCGCU